rnacentral:rRNA from 1 species
AGCCACAGCCAUAUCACCCUGCAGACCUGUUACUCACUGUAGCUAAGCAGGGCUGAGCCUGGUCAGUACCUGGAUGGGUGACCACAUGGGAAUACUAGGUUGCUAUUGGAA